rnacentral:rRNA from 1 species
UUGGAGGGCAGUCUGGUGCCAGCAGCCGCGGUAAUUCCAGCUCCAAUAGCGUAUAUUAAAGUUGUUGCAGUUAAAAAGCUCGUAGUUGAAUUUCGGGAUUAGUACGCUGGUCGUGCCUUCGGUACGUACUGGUGUUACUGAUUCCUACCUUCUGACGAACCAUCAUGUCAUUAAUUUGGUGUGGUGGGAAAUCAGGACUGUUACUUUGAAAAAAUCAGAGUGUUUAAAGCAGGCUCGCGCUUGAAUACAUUAGCAUGGAAUAAUGAAAUAGGACGUUGAUCCUAUUUUGUUGGUUUCUAGGAUUGACGUAAUGAUUAAUAGGGAUAGUUGGGGGCAUUAGUAUUCAAUUGUCAGAGGCGAAAUUCUUGGAUUUAUUGAAGACUAACUACUGCGAAAGCAUUUGCCAAGGAUGUUUUCAUUAAUCAAGAACGAAAGUUAGGGGAUCGAAGACGAUCAGAUACCGUCGUAGUCUUAACCAUAAACUAUGCCGACUAGGGAUCGGAUGAUGUUAUUUUUAAUGACUCAUUCGGCGCCUUACGGGAAAC